AGAUGUGAGGGCAAUCUGUCUGUGACAUCUGUCAUCCAUUGAUAGCCAGGGUUGAUUUGGUUGAUCCGGAUGGCUAGGCACUUGUCUCCUUCUUCCCUCACCACUUCAUGUGCAUCCCUUCUGAAACAUAUGCUUGGCUGAAAAAAAUUAAAGACAUAGAAACUCUCACUAACACCUUCUAUAAGCAUUACCAUGCUUAUAGGAUGGAAGAAUUAAUAUUAUCAAAUACCAAAUACAUAGGCAUGUACAGAUUUAAUGUCAUCCCCACCAAUGUACCAU
rnacentral:snRNA from 1 species